UACGGAGGGUGCGAGCGUUGUCCGGAAUCAUUGGGCGUAAAGGGCGCGUAGGUGGCGGGACAAGCGUGCGGUGAAAGCCUGGGGCUCAACCCCGGGUCGGCCGUGCGAACUGUUUUGCUUGAGCACUGUAGAGGCAGGCGGAAUUCCGGGUGUAGCGGUGGAAUGCGUAGAGAUCCGGAAAGAACACCGGUGGCGAAGGCGGCCUGCUGGGCAGUAGCUGACACUGAGGCGCGACAGCGUGGGGGAGCAAACAGG
rnacentral:rRNA from 1 species